GCAGGCUCCGCGGGCACGCCCCUCUGUGUGAUUAUCAUCGCUGCGGUAAGGGAAAAUCUAAGGAGAGUAGAGUCUCUACACUCCUUAGGAAAAUCCCCGCAGAAACCCCUGACAGAUUACUUAUUUUUGAGCUGUCGCCAUGGCUGGAAAUGGAUCUGAUGCUGUGAAACGAAUCGGCAAUGCUGAAGAAACACCUUUGAACGUGGUAAGCCCUGGGCACGUGGUCGUCGGUGAGCUGCAAUUGGACUCGUCUACGGUGCCGAAAAAGCAGACGGAGAGUUACGACGACAAGAUUGCAAGGUUGAGAGAUACAAACGCUCGAAAUGCCUGCAUUGGUGACUGUUGUUUCCAUCUGGGGAACUGUAUGGAGUGCUUUCUGCUUUGUUUUUUGUGUUGUGACGGGUGUUGUGAAUAGUUGGUUACUUGGAAUGCCAAAAUGAUUCAAUUUUUAUCAAUUGUUUCGUAUACUUCAGGACAAAUUACAAUCAUUUUACCGUCCCUUGCCAUAAAUAUACUUUUUUCCUUGAUUUUUAACGAUUAUAUUUUAAGUUUUCCUUCUUUUGCUGCCAACAAAAAUUUUGAAUUGCUAUAUUGUAUUUGUCCACGUUUUUUGAACCAUAUAAACAUUUUUUUGUUCAAAUUUGUGCCUUAAAUCGGUUAAAUCGUACCAAAAAAAUCUACUGAUAUUGUAAAGAUUUUAGAAAAAUUAUAAUUUUUAAUAAAAUUAUAGCUAUUUUUUACCAUUAAA